UCAGAACGAACGCUGGCGGCGUGCCUAACACAUGCAAGUCGAGCGCGAAUGGAGUCAAAUCCUAGUAGAGCGGCGCACGGGUGCGUAACACGUGGAUAAUCUGCCUAGGGUGUCUGGGAUAACCAGUCGAAAGACUGGCUAAUACCGGAUAAGACCACGGUCUCUUCGGAGGCUGUGAGAAAAGGUGGCCUCUGUAUACAAGCUAUCACAUCCAGAUGAGUCCGCGG
rnacentral:rRNA from 1 species